GCAGGGGUUCCGAGGCGGACCUGGGGAGCAGAAACCCCUGUUUAGGGUGAACCGUGGCGGGCGCCGAUGGCCUCUUGGAAGAGGACAGACUAGCAGCUGCGAGGGAGAUGGGACUGGGUUUCACCCCUGAAAGGGCCCCUGGAGACAGCGGGGAAACUGACAGGGAGAUCAUGAUGUCGCCAUUUUGAUGGGGUCCCCAGAGGAGAGAUGUCCUCCCCAACGGCUCCUGGACAGGACUGGGGAAAGAGUUCAGGAGGGCUGCUGAACGCCGGAGCCUUACAACUGUUAAACUCAGGCAGAGCUCGGGAAAUGCUGCCCGGAUGGGUGAGUCCUUUUAACACCUCUUGGGUUGAUUUUUCUCACAGGUUUUCGGGGUUUGCAGAGCUCUGAGACUGUGACCACAGGGUGAGACCUCAAGCUGCCCAGUACUGUGGCCCCAUUUCAGAGGCCUUGGGCCUGGGCCAGAGAUGGACGCUGGGGCUGCCUUUUACUCCAAGUUUUUUUCUUCAUUGGUCAUUGGUCAUUGGGCUCCAAGAAAAGCACUUUUUCAGGAAUCAAAGAAGCAGUGAUGGAACGAAAAGCAGAGAAAGCUGAUGAGCCCUGAAUGGAGGUGAAACUUCCAGGAAAUAUCACUUGCCUCUUGAUUAGGGGAAAUCACUUUUGAAUGACCCCGAGUUUUGUGCCCCAAGCAUAGAUUCUGGCAGAAAGAAACAGUCUGGACUGAUGACACACUACAACAUUUGGUCAUGUGGAAAGAAUGAUCUUCAGGAAAAAUCACACCCUUGGCAAAGGCUUUUUACAGAGGCAAGGGCGAGCCGGCCAAUUCUGACAAUAUUCCAGUGGCAAGGGAGCCAGGCUGACUCAGUCAUCAUUACUUGUGUUUCGUCUCUUCCUCCCACAUCUCCUUGUAUAACUGUCUUUUGGGGAGGGGUGAAGUGAUAGUAAGAAAAACAACAGCACUUUGAAAAAGGGACAGGGGGAGAAACAAGAAGGGGAGAAAGAGUUGGGGAGAGCUCUUGGGUGAUGGGGAGAUAGCACUGGGGAUGUUCUGGAGCCUGACAGAACUGUGUGGUCCCUCCAGCUGGAGAUGCUGGGAAAACAGGAAGGGAUUCGGGAGACGGCAGGGAUGAAGUUGGCUCAUGAAAUGCAGGGCUCCCUUAGCACUUUACAAAUACCAGCUUACAAACACUCCACAGUCAUCAGGAAACCCUUGAUGGAUGCUGCACAGAGAUCGAAGUUCAGGAGCAGCACCAAUAUUCAUCCGGGGCAAUUGGAGUGAGAGCAGCACAGGAUCACAGCCUGAUUUGGCCUCAGAGGCUUUCUUAUCUCUUGCAAGAUCUGGAAGCCAUGCAAAAGGUGUCAUGGGGAGAGGCGCUGAUGUCAGGCAUUUAUGGGACCACUGAGUGGGGGCAAAGAGGCAGGAGAAAAAGCCAGUGAUGAUGGGUCGACACCUGCAGGUAGACCCAUUUGCAGGUUAUUAGAAACUAGCUUAUUUAUCCAGCUUUUUUUUUUUUUUUUUUGGAGAUGGAGUCUUGCUCUGUCGCCCAGGCUGGAGUGCAGUGGCGUGAUCUCGGCUCACUGCAACCUCCACCUCCCAGGUUCACGCCAUUCUCCUGCCUCAGCCUCCCAAGUAGCUGGGACUACAGGCAUCUGGCACCACGCCUGGCUAAUUUUUUUGUAUUUUUAGUGGAGACGGGGUUUCACCGUGUUAGCCAGGAUGGUCUUGAACUCCUGACCUCGUGAUCCACCUGCCUUGGCCUCCCAAAGUGCUGGGAUUUCAGGCGUGAGCCACCGCGCCUGGUCCUCCAGCUCUCUUUUUGUGGUUAUCUUAGACGCUAUGAAUCUACUUGAAAACCAAGACGAUUGAUCCUUUAAGUGAGCUGCAGGUGUCCACCUGGGCGUGUUUUCUGCUUCUAAGCCACAGGCAAUUCGGUGUGCAAGUUUAACACCCUGAUAGGCCCUAGCCUUAGCUCUGUUUUAAACUCCCAAAAAGUGUUUUUGUGUUUGUGUGCAUGUGGGGGAGACACCUUAAAAUCCAGCAAUGCUGUGUCCACAGUGCUCUCCUGGGCCCCUUCCAAAGAUGGGAAUAAUAUGGGCAGCUGGUUUCGAUUUUUAUAACUUGCAACAGCUACUCUGUGAAAGCGGUGUGCAGCAACAGCCAGGCAAUCCGGACAGACUUAUUAAAUGUGCUGGGCACUGGGCACUGGGCACUGGGCACUGGAAUUCUCCUGGUUGUAGGCAAGCUGGGGGACAGGGAGGUGAGAGCUGGAAUAGUCAUUCUGAAGUGUGAUAUUUAUUGGACCCCAUACUAGGUGACUGAUGGAGAGGGGCUACCACUCUUCCAGCUAAACUCCGCUCUGGUUGGGACCCAGCAAUUAUUUUCCAUAGCGAAGUGUUAAUAAAAUAUCUGUUACUCCCAACACAACCUCCUGGGGGAAGGGACCUGUCUGUCUGCUUCAACUUUGGAUCCUCAGUGCCCACAUCAGGAUACCUGGCCUGAGGUGAGUGCUGUAGAAAUAGCUGUUGAAUGAAUGCAUGAGGGCCUGCUCUGCCUGAGGGCUGGGGACAGAUUGGGUGUUUUCUGUGUCCCCUCCAGAGCAUCCGGUGACCCAGUUUUAGGUCUCAAGGUCACUGCCAAGAAAGAGAAGCUGCUAAAGUGACACCUCUGUGCACCCACAUGACUUAACACAAAAGUUAACAGGAGCUCUUCAAAAACAAGCCUCUCGAGUGUCUGUCUCCUGUUUUCCCUGAGGACAGCAUCAGUGGCAUCAGAUAGGGGUUGGGGCUGGGUGACCUGCUGGUCCUCAGCCAUCACUGUGGCCCAGAGGUCAUUUAAGCAGCUCUCUGCUUAGCAGACAGGCAGAGGGAAUAGAUGGAAGGUACAGGUAAACACUGCAUGUGGCCACCGCGAGGAUACCCCGGAGCCUGGGAAACAGACAGGGACGUCGUAAAACCAACACAUAAUGGACCAGUGCAGAGACAGGCAAAACCAGUCAGAAGAAAUAGGAUGGUGCCUAGCCCAGGGACACCUGACUUAAGGUAUUUUUGUUUGUUUGUUUUGUUUUUUGAGACAGGGGUCUCUCUCUGUCACCCAGGCUGGAGUGCAGUGGCAUACUCACUGCUCACUGCAGUCUCAACCUCCCAGGCUUAAGCGAUCCUCCCACCUCAGCCUCCUUAGUAGUAGCUGGGACUACAGGUGUGCACCAACACAUCCAGUUCAUUUUUGUAUUUUUUUGUAGAGGUGGAGUUUCGCCAUGUUGCUCAGGCUGGUCUCGAACUGGGCUCAAGCGAUCUGCCCGCCUCGGCCUCCCAAAGUGUGGGGAUUACAGGCGUGAGCCACCACACCUCGUUGACCUAAGGUAUUAACUAAAGAAAGCAGGUGAUUCUCAGGGGGGCUAUGAAAGCAGCAUGCCUAAGGGACAGGAACGUACCAUGAAGGUGUUGUCUUUUGAGGCUCAGUCCAGGAGAAGCAGGUCUUUUAGACCCAAUGACAACGCUCCCUAGUGUGCAGGUGCGUCUCUCUGAUGACAAAAGGCAGUGUGAUUGUGAUAUUUUAUAUAUAUAUAGUUUUUGUUAUUGUUGUUUUGGGGACAGGUCUCACUCUGUCACCCAGACUGGAGUGCAGUGGUAAGAAUACGGCUCACUGCAGCCUCAAAAUCCCAGUUUCAAGCGAUCCUCCCACCUCAGCUUCCUGAGUAGCUGUAACUACAGGCAUGCACCACCUGGCUAAUUUUUCAAAUUUUUUUAUGGAGACUGGGUCUCAUUAUGUUGCCCAGGCUGGUCUCAAAUUCCUGGGUUUAGGCAAUCCUCCUGCCUCGGCCUCCCUCAAUACUGAGGUUACAGGCGUGAGCCACUGCACCAAGCCUAUAUUUUGUUUUUUGUUCACGGUUCCUGGCUUAUAACUCCCAUGGCCCUUGUUACAGUAAACACGAUCUCCCUCCCUGACAUUCUUCUACCCUCCUUUCACCUGCCCACAGCAGGACUUUAAUCUGAUUCUGCGUGUAAUCUCAUUGCAGAGAGGGUCCUGCCGGUAUUACCCUGGAGGAAGGAAUGCUGCACAGAGGCCGAGAGGAAUUUGAACAGACUGGCCUUGCUGGGUUUUUAUCUCUUUUUGUCCAAUCCCAUUUUGACACAGUUGUCCAUGCUCCAAUCAUGCUUAUCCAAUGAAGUUUCCAUAACAGGCCUGAGAGGACAGGGUUCAGGAGCUUCCGGACAGCUGAGCAGGUGGAGGUUCCUGGAGGGUGGUGUGCCAGGGAGGGUGUGGAAGCUCUGCCCCUUCCCCCAUACCUUGUCCUAUGCAUUCCUUUAUCUGCAUCCUUCAUUUUAUUUUAUUUUUUUUUGAGACGGAGUCUUGCUCUUGUCGUCCAGGCUGGAAUGCAGUGGUGCGCGAUCUUGGCGCACUGCAACCUCCGCCUCCCGAGUUCAAGAGAUUCUCUUGCCUGAGCCUCCCGAGUAGCUGGGAUUACAGGCACCCGCCACCAUCCCUGGCUAAUUUUUGUAUUUUUAGUAGAGAUGGGGUUUCACCAUGUUGGCCAGGUUAGUCUUGAACUCCUGACCUCAGGUGAUCCACCCACCUCAGCCUCCCAAAGUGCUGAGAUUACAGGCGUGAGCCACAGUGCCCGGCCUGUAUCCUUUAUAAUAUCUUUUAUAAACAACCAAUCAGUAAAUGUGUUACUCUGACUUCUGUGAGCUGCUCUAGCAAAUUAAUCAAAUCCACAGAAGGGUCAUGGGAACCCCAACUUGAAGCCUGUCCGUCAGAAGUUCCAGAGUCCUGGACUUGUGACUGGUGUCUGAAGUGGGCAAGUCUUGGGGACUGAGCCCCUAGCCUGUGGGAUCUGAUGCUAUCUCCACAUAGAUAGCAAUGGAAUUGAAUUGGCGGGCACCUGGCUGGUGUCUGCUGCAGAGCUCAUUGUUUGCUUAGUGGUGGAGAGAAGUCUCCCUCCACAUGUGGUCACAGCAUCUUCUGUCUGUGUUGAUUGCUUUUGAUGUUGAUCGAGAGAACAGGAAAAAGCACAUUGAAUGUCUCAAUGAUGAAGAUGACAAUAAUCUGGCUUCUAGGUUGUUAUGCGGCAGGCAACAGCUGUGCAGAUCCUAAUAAUCUACUCUGGGUGACAGUUUAACACAGGGGUUGGCAAAUGUGGCCCACUUCCUAUUUUUAUAAAUAAAGUUUUAUUGAAACAUG
rnacentral:lncRNA from 10 species